GUUAACUGCAGCAAAGACUUAAUGGUUGGGUUGAGCCCAUGGGGGCCCAUGGAGUCAUGUUGAAAGUGAAAUUUAGUAGACUCUGUUAUAGGCUCCUGUGAGCAGCAGAGAUUCAGAGUGGAAUGAACUCAGACGGUGAAGACACUCCGACCUCGGAAUCACAACCAUGAAUGCUAUAAAUGCUAUGCAACUGUUCUUUUUGGUUUGGACCUUUACUGCUGUCUGUCAAGCUGAUAAAGAUAUCAGUGUAAGCUGUGAAGAUGUGAAUGGAUCUGUGGGGAAAGAAGUCAAUCUCACCUGCAGCGUCAUUUUGCUGAUAAAUAAAUGCUGCAUUAAAAAUUAUAUGUUUGAAUAUAAAGACUCAAAAAUCUGUAGACAAGUGCUUCGUGAAUCCUGUGAA